GCCUAAAGCGUCCGUAGCCGGCUCUGUAAGUUUUCGGUUAAAUCCAUAUGCUCAACAUAUGGGCCGCCGGGAAUACUGCAUAGCUAGGGAGUGGGAGAGGUAGACGGUACUCCGUAGGAAGGGGUAAAAUCCUUUGAUCUAUGGAUGACCACCUGUGGCGAAGGCGGUCUACCAGAACACGUUCGACGGUGAGGGAUGAAAGCUGGGGGAGCAAACCGGAUUAGAUACCCGGGUAGUCCCAGCUGUAAACUAUGCAAACUCAGUGAUGCAUUGGCUUGUGGCCAAUGCAGUGUUGCAGGGAAGCCGUUAAGUUUGCCGCCUGGGAAGUACGUACGCAAGUAUGAAACUUAAAGGAAUUGGCGGGGGAGCACCACAAGGGGUGAAGCCUGCGGUUCAAUUGGAGUCAACGCCAGAAAUCUUACCCGGAGAGACAGCAGAAUGAAGGUCAAGCUGAAGACUUUACCAGACAAGCUGAGAGGUGGUGCAUGGCCGUCGCCAGCUCGUGCCGUGAGAUGUCCUGUUAAGUCAGGUAACGAGCGAGAUCCCUGCCUCUAGUUGCCACCAUUACUCUCAGGAGUAGUGGGGCGAAUUAGCGGGACCGCCGCAGUUAAUGCGGAGGAAGGAAGGGGCCACGGCAGGUCAGUAUGCCCCGAA
rnacentral:rRNA from 1 species